rnacentral:rRNA from 1 species
AAGAAAUUAACGAAGAUUUCCCUAGUAACGGCGAGUGAAAAGGAAAUAGUUCAGCGCUGAAUCCCUUAGCCCAUGGUUAAGGGACCUGUAGCGUGAAGGAGAGCCUGUCUGUCGGGUUGUUGGCUUCGGAAUAUCCCUCGAAUGGGAACCCAAAGCAGGUGCGAGGCCUGUAACGAGGUGAUACCCGUCAGUUUGCGCCUCCUUAGAGUCGGGUUACUUGAGAGUGUAGCCCAAAGCGGAAGGUAAACCCCUUCUAAAGCUAAAUAUUACCACGAGACCGAUAGCGAACAAGUACCGCGAGGGAAAGUUGAAAAGAACUUUGAAGAGAGAGUUCAAAAGGGCGUGAAACCGCUUAGAAGAAAACGGACGGAGCCGUCGGGAGCUUUCGGGAAUCAGUCUUACGAUACACGAAAGUAUCAUAGUUCUGGAACGCAAGUCCAGCUGUGGUAUAGUAAAAAGUAGUGUUCGUGCGGCGCAUUUCUCGAAGGUAAGCACUGCGACCGAUACGAAAGGCCGACGAGGCGUUUGGAUUGAGGGCGAGUCCUCUUACGGGGUCUCGUAACCAGUCUAUUCGUUCCAUAGUCGUUGGACCGCAGUAUGUAUCGAGCGCCAAAGUCUAUAUAUACGUCGGCGUAAACGCUCGCUCGAAUAAUGGAUAGUUGGUCAAUAGCGUUGGUAUCUGCUCGCAGGUGCUAGCCUAUUCGAUUCGGCUAAGAAGUUAUCGGCGACAUACGACGUAUAGGCGUCCGCAGUGUCAGUGUCGGCCACCCGUCCGACCCGUCUUGAAACACGGACCAAGGAGUCUAACAUAUGCGCGAGCUAAUGGGUGGAAAACCCAAAGGCGCAAUAAAAGUAAACGCUGUUUCGGACAGCUAAGGUACGAUCCAAGGAUUCGAGCGAUCCUAGGCGCAGUACCGUCCCGUCCCGACCGCAUAUCGGUAGGGCGGAGAUAGAGUGCAUACGUUGGGACCCGAAAGAUGGUGAACUAUGCCUGAGCAGAGCGAAGCCAGAGGAAACUCUGGUGGAGGUUCGUAGCGGUUCUGACGUGCAAAUCGAUCGUCAGACUUGGGUAU